rnacentral:rRNA from 1 species
UGAGGAAUAUUGGGUCAAUGGGCGAGAGCCUGAACCAGCCAAGUAGCGUGCAGGAAGACGGCCCUAUGGGUUGUAAACUGCUUUUAUAUGGGGAUAAAGUGAGUUACGUGUAGCUUAUUGCAGGUACCAUAUGAAUAAGGACCGGCUAAUUCCGUGCCAGCAGCCGCGGUAAUACGGAAGGUCCAGGCGUUAUCCGGAUUUAUUGGGUUUAAAGGGAGCGUAGGCCGCCCCUUAAGCGUGUUGUGAAAUGCCGCGGCUCAACCGUGGCACUGCAGCGCGAACUGGGGGGCUUGAGUGCACGCAACGCAGGCGGAAUUCGUGGUGUAGCGGUGAAAUGCUUAGAUAUGACGAAGAACUCCGAUUGCGAAGGCAGCUGACGGGAGCGUUACUGACGCUUAAGCUCGAAAGUGCGGGUAUCGAACA